CAGAGUGUAGCUUAGCAGAGACUAGCGUCUCCCUUACACCGAGAAGACAUUCGUGCGAGUCGAAUCGCUCUGAC
rnacentral:tRNA from 1 species